rnacentral:rRNA from 1 species
UACGUAGGGUGCGAGCGUUAAUCGGAAUUACUGGGCGUAAAGCGUGCGCAGGCGGUUUUGUAAGCCAGAUGUGAAAUCCCCGGGCUUAACCUGGUAAUGGCAUUUGGGACUGCAAGGCUGGAGUGUGGCAGAGGAGACUGGAAUUCCUGGUGUAGCAGUGAAAUGCGUAGAUAUCAGGAGGAAUACCGAUGGCGAAGGCAGGUCUCUGGGCUGACACUGACGCUCAUGCACGAAAGCGUGGGGAGCAAACAGG